ACUCCUACGGGAGGCAGCAGUGGGGAAAUUGCGCAAUGGGCGAAAGCCUGACGCAGCCACGCCGCGUGAGCGAUGAAUGCCUUCGGGUCGUAAAGCUCUGUGGGGAGAGAAGAAUAAAGCCUGUGAAGAGCGGGCCUUGACGGUAUCUCCUUAGCAAGCACCGGCUAACUCCGUGCCAGCAGCCGCGGUAAUACGGAGGGUGCGAACGUUGCUCGGAAUCAUUGGGCGUAAAGCGCACGUAGGCGGCGAACAACGUUGGGUGUGAAAGCCCUGGGCUCAACCCAGGAAGUGCAUUCAAAACUACUUCGCUUGAAUCUCGGAGGGGGUCAGAGAAUUCCCGGUGUAGAGGUGAAAUUCGUAGAUAUCGGGAGGAAUACCACUGGCGAAGGCGCUGACCUGGACGAAGAUUGACGCUGAGGUGCGAAAGCGUGGGGAGCAAACAGGAUUACAUACCCUGGUAGUCCACGCUGUAAACGAUGAGUGCUAGACGGUGGAGGUAUUGACCCCUUCGCUGUCGCAGCUAACGCGUUAAGCACUCCGCCUGGGGAGUACGGUCGCAAGACUAAAACUCAAAGGAAUUGACG
rnacentral:rRNA from 1 species